ensembl:misc_RNA Y_RNA Y RNA
GGCUGGUCCGAUGGCAGUGGGUUAUCAGAACUUAUUAACAUUAGUGUCACUAAAGUUGGUAUACCACCCCCCCCCCCACUGCUAAAUUUGACUGGCUUUUA